CGUAGCACACAGCUCAGUAACACGUGGCUAACCUGCCCUUGGGACGGAAACACCCCCGGGAAACUGGGGCUAAUUUCCGAUAGGUGAAGGCUCCUGGAAUGGAUUUUUGCCGAAAGGGCGUUUAGGGCAUGCUUCUAGGCGUUGCCCAAGGAUGGGGCCGCGGCCGAUCAGGUUGUUGGUGAGGUAAUGGCUCACCAAGCCUUUAACCGGUACGGGCCGUGGGAGCGGUAGCCCGGAGAUGGGCACUGAGACAAGGGCCCAGGCCCUACGGGGCGCAGCAGUCGCGAAAACUUCGCAAUAAGCGAAAGCUUGACGGGGCCAUCCCGAGUGCCAUCUUCUGGAUGGCUUUUACCCAGUGUAGAUAGCUGGGGGAAUAAGGAGAGGGCAAGUCUGGUGUCAGCCGCCGCGGUAAUACCAGCUCUCCGAGUUGUGGGGAUGUUUAUUGGGCCUGAAGCAUCCGUAGCCGGCUGGACAAGUCCUCUGUUAAAUCCAGCGACUAAUCGUUGGUCUGCGGGGGAUACUGUCCGGCUAGGGGGCGGGAGAGCCCGUCGGUAUUCUUGGGGUAGGGGUGAAAUCCUAUAAUCCCAGGAGGACCACCAGUGGCGAAGGCUGUCGGCUAGAACGCGCCCGACGGUGAGGGAUGAAAGCUGGGGGAGCGAACCGGAUUAGAUACCCGGGUAGUCCCAGCUGUAAACGAUGCAGGCUAGGUGUUAGGGCGGCUACGUGCCGCUCUAGUGCCGCAGGGAAGCUGUUAAGCCUGCCGCCUGGGGAUACGGCCGGAAGGCUGACUUAAAGGCCA
rnacentral:rRNA from 1 species